rfam:Schistosoma mansoni, Puerto Rico, WGS project CABG01000000 data, contig: 0138
UUCCAGCUGACGAGUCCCAAAUAGGACGUAACGUGCGUCACACUGGAU